UUGAAGCAAGCCUCGAAGCGGUGCUUCGAUAGCUCGACACAGUGUCGAAACCUUAGUAUCGAGCGGCCCAUCACUACCUGUCCCUGCAGUACUCUGUCGGGCAAACAAGGUCGGCCUGCCCGCGCUAACUCUUUCUGCGGCCCAGCCUUCGCCCCUCAGCGCCAGUUAAAAUGGAUUAAGGAAUAGCAGAUAGGCACUGGCAAACGAGGCUUCUAUUCUUAAGGAUUUCUUCACGGACAGAAAUGUGGACUUUUUCUUUUUAACAGUGACGUUUAUGGCUGCAAGCCGGUGAAAUGACAUCAAUCUGGACAUGUCUCUCUCUUCUUCUAUCAUCACCAUCUCCUACUCAUGGUGGCCACUGUCCGUGUGUGUUCCUGCACUCGGCCUUCUUCUAAUCACCUCGGAAUGUCUCCAAGUAUUAUGUCAUGGAGGG